GACGAACGCUGGCGGCGUGCCUAUGCAUGCAAGUCGAGCGGGCUACAAUCUUCGGAUUGUAGUUUAGCGGCGAACGGGUGAGUAACACGUAGGUAAUCUACCCUUCAGAGGAGGACAACCUCAGGAAACUGAGGCUAAACCUCCAUGUGUUCAUUAUCAGGAAUGAUAAUGAAGAAAGAGUUACCGUAGAGGUAGCUGCUGAAGGAUGAGCCUGCGGCCCAUCAGGUAGUUGGUGAGGUAACGGCUCACCAAGCCGAAGACGGGUAACCGGUCUGAGAGGAUGUCCGGUCACACUGGGACUGAGACACGGCCCAGACUCCUACGGGGGGCAGCAGCAGGGAAUCUUGGGCAAUGGGCAAAAGCCUGACCCAGCGACGCCGCGUGGAGGAAGAAGUCCUUCGGGGCGUAAACUCCUGGACUGGGGGACGAGGAAGGACGGUACCCCAGUAGAAAGGGACGGCUAACUACGUGCCAGCAGCCGCGGUAAAACGUAGGUCCCGAGCGUUGUUCGGAUUCACUGGGUGUAAAGGGCGCGUAGGUGGUUGCCUGUGUCUCAUGUGAAAACUCAGGGCUCAACUCUGAGAUUGCGUGGGAAACUAGGCAGCUAGAGGACGGUAGAGGGGAGUGGAAUUCCCGGUGUAGCGGUAAAAUGCGUAGAUAUCGGGAGGAACACCGGUGGCGAAGGCGGCUCUCUGGGCCGAUCCUGACGCUGAGGCGCGAAAGCUAGGGGAGCGAACC
rnacentral:rRNA from 1 species